GUGCUCACUUCAGCAGCACAUAUACUAAAAUUGGAACGAUGCAAAGAAGAUUAUAAUGGCCCCUGCACAAGGAUUAUUUAUUUAUUUAUUUAUUUAUUUAUUUAUUU